rnacentral:rRNA from 1 species
GCAAAACGCGAAGAACCUUACCCACCUUUGACAUGUACGGAAUCCUUUAGAGAUAGAGGAGUGCUCGAAAGAGAGCCGUAACACAGGUGCUGCAUGGCUGUCGUCAGCUCGUGUCGUGAGAUGUUGGGUUAAGUCCCGCAACGAGCGCAACCCUUGCCAUUAGUUGCUACAUUUAGUUGAGCACUCUAAUGGGACCGCCGGUGACAAACCGGAGGAAGGUGGGGAUGGACGUCAAGUCCUCAUGGCCCUUAUAGGUGGGGCUACGACACGUCAUACAAUGGCUGGUACAAAGGGUUGCCAACCCGCGAGGGGGNGCGUAAUCCCAUAAAGCCAGUCGUAGUCCGGAUCGCAGUCUGCAACUCGACUGCGUGAAGUCGGAAUCGCUAGUAAUCGUGGAUCAGAAUGUCACGGUGAAUACGUUCCGGGUCUUGUACACACCG